GACUCCGUGGCGCAAUGGUUGCGCGUCUGAGUCCAGUUCAGAAGGUUACGUGUUCGAACCACGUCGGAGUCA